AAAAAACCCUAAAAUAUUAAAAAACCUCUGUCCGAGUUCAUCAUCUUCACCAUUCAGCUUUGACGAAAUAUUCACGGAUAAAACUUCGAAGCUCUUCCCAAAGGUCCUCUGUCCUCUUCAUCAUCUCUUCCCAUGAGAAAUAACUUUUUUACGAGGAUGAGAUAAAGCUUCGAAGCUCUUCCCAAAGCUUCCACUCCAAAUGUUUCAUCUGUUAAAUUUUCUGAAAAUUCGGUAUGUACUGGACGAAGCUCACCAGCUGUUCGAUCAAAUGCCUAAGAGGAAGAUGAAUCAAACUAUAAGGGGUAUCUGAUAUGAUGAUAGGUUUUUGCAGUCAACUGGAACUGAUUCGUGUUACUGCAUCUGAGACUAUGGAAGCCUAUAUCAUUCUGUGCAACCUUGAUGAUGGACAAGAAGAGCAGGAGAGGAAAAGGUUCUUGCGUGGAGGAGGAGGAGGAGUGGGGUAAGGCAGAGCCAUCAACUCUCAAGAAUUCGCCAGAGAACAAACUAAGGGAGGCUCUCGAGGAGGCUUCUGAAGAUGGGUCACUUCGUAAAAACACAUGAAAUUCACUCUGAGUCUUUGAAUCAAGAUGGCUGCUUGGGAAGGUCAAUAUCUCUUGCAAGGCUUAAUGCCCAGAAGGAAUUCUUGAGGGCAACUACUCUUUUGUCUGAAAGGACAUUUUGCAUUGAAGAAUCCAUUCAUGGCUUUAAUGAAGCCUUCUUGUUGGUUCUUGACUUUGUACCCAAAGUUCCAAUGUUGAGAAACAAUUGACCAUUUGAGAAUUGACUUUGUACGGGUUGUUUUCUUGUUUUCAAACGCUACAGUAUUGGGAUUCAUCUAUAUUUAGCUUAAAGGAAAUUACUGCAAAUUUGAGCAAUCAUGUACUUCAUUGGGGUGCAGAGGAAGGUACUGUGGAGCAUGAUAUUAAAACCAAAAUUAUGGAUUACUUGAACAUUCUUGAGAAUGAGUUUGUACUUGUUUUUACUAUUAGUAGAGGAUCUGCAUUUAAAUUGUUGUUGAA